rnacentral:rRNA from 1 species
CCCUUAGAUGUUCUGGGCCGCACGCGUGCUACACUGAGUGGAUCAGCGGGUCAGGUUGCGCGAAAGUGUUUCCUAAUCUUUAAAUCCGCUCGUGAUGGGGAUUGACGGUUGCAAUUUUCCGUCAUGAACGAGGAAUACCUUGUAAGCGCGGGUCAUCAUCCCGCGCUGAAUACGUCCCUGCCCUUGGUACACACCGCCCGUCGCUCCUACCGAUUGAGUGGUCCGGUGAGGCUUUGGGAUCUGAGCGGAAAGAGCGUUUCGCUGUUUCUGCCCGGAAAACUCAGUCGAACCUUAUCAUUUAGAGGAAGGAGAAGUCGUAACA